rnacentral:rRNA from 1 species
UACGAAGGGGGAUAGCGUUGUUCGGAAUCACUGGGCGUAAAGCGCACGCAGGCGGAUCGCUAAGUCGGGGGUGAAAGCCCGGGGCUCAACCUCGGAAUUGCCUUCGAUACUGUCGGUAUCGAGUCCGGGAGAGGUGAGUGGAAUUCCUAGUGUAGAGGUGAAAUUCGUAGAUAUUAGGAAGAACACCAGUGGCGAAGGCGGCUCACUGGCCCGGUACUGACGCUCAGGUGCGAAAGCGUGGGGAGCAAACAGG